rnacentral:rRNA from 1 species
AGAGUUUGAUCCUGGCUCAGAUUGAACGCUGGCGGCAUGCCUUACACAUGCAAGUCGAACGGUAGCGGGCCUUCGGGUGCCGACGAGUGGCGAACGGGUGAGUAAUGUAUCGGAACGUACCUUUCAGUGGGGGAUAACGUAGCGAAAGUUACGCUAAUACCGCAUAUUCUGUGAGCAGGAAAGCAGGGGAUCGCAAGACCUUGCGCUGAUUGAGCGGCCGAUAUCAGAUUAGCUAGUUGGUGAGGUAAAGGCUCACCAAGGCGACGAUCUGUAGCGGGUCUGAGAGGAUGAUCCGCCACACUGGAACUGAGACACGGUCCAGACUCCUACGGGAGGCAGCAGUGGGGAAUUUUGGACAAUGGGGGCAACCCUGAUCCAGCCAUGCCGCGUGAGUGAAGAAGGCCUUCGGGUUGUAAAGCUCUUUCGGCCGGGAAGAAAUCGCAUGGGUUAAUACCCUGUGCGGAUGACGGUACCGGCAUAA